UUUUCUUUUAAGUUAAAAAAAAAAAGAUAAACUAAUGGUAAGUUAAUAGGCUCAUGACCUGUGUAUAAAGGUUCGAUUCCUUUUCUUUUAAGUUAAAAAAUUAUGAGAAAGGUUAGAAAUAAUAAAUUUGAGAAGAAAAAUCUUUUAAGGUGAAUAGAAGUAUUUUAAGUGAAAAGAAUUGAAACAUCUUAGUAAAAUUGUAAUAAACUCAUAGAAGUAUUGGCGAGAGAAACUAUGUUGAAGUAUAUUUGAAUUUAACAAAACUUUUAGGGUCUUAGAAUUUAUAGAAUUAGUACCGUGAGGGAAGUUAUAAAAAUAACCCUUACCCAAAUGAGAACCAUUUACCUUUUGUAUGAUGGACUUACAAGAUAUUAUUUAGCAAGCUAGUAGGCUUAAAGUUAAAUAAACCCGAAACUUGGCGAUCUAAUAAUGAAUAAUUUGUAGAAUGAACUAGGAAAUGAUAAAAAUUUUUAGAUAAUUUAUUAUUAGCAGUGAAAAACUAAUCGAGCCUAGAAAUAGCUGGUUCUCUAUGAAAUUUAUUUAAGUAAAAAAUUUAGUAUAAAUUUUCAGAUUAUAAGUUAAAAGAUUUAUAAUCAAAAGAAAGACAAUUCUAGACUAAUAAGAAAAAACUCAAUUUAUAUAAUUUAAAAUAGGUCAUGAUAAAGACAAUUAGGAAGUAGGCUUAGAACCAGUCAUAUUAGUAAAAUUACGUAAUAGUUUACUAAAUAAAAAUUAUACUUAAAUAAUUAAGUAAAAAAAAUUUUAUUUAUAGUUUUAGUAGUAGAGUUUUAUUAAAUAUAUUUUGUGAAAAUUUAAUAAGAAAUAAUGUAAGUAUGAGUAGAAUAAAAUUUAUUCUUGAGAGCUCUUAAUGAAUUAGUAAUUAAGUUAAAGCAGUCCCUAAAUAAAAAAUGGGUAAAGCAAGAUUUUAGGCUAGAAAAAUUUGUUUGAAUUUCUGUAUAAUCUAAAUCAAGCAAGAAUACUAAAAAAAAUAAAUUUCCCCUAAGGAACUCGACAAAAUCAGAUAUCGACUGUUUACCAAAAACAUAGCCUCUAUAAAAAUAUUAGAGGUGAUGCCUGCCCAGUGGGGAUGGUAUAAAAAUUAUAGUGAAAUUUUAUUUUCCCUAAACGGAUGCGGUAACUCUGACUGUAAUAAAGUAGCAUAAUUAAUUGUCAUUUAAUUGGUGGAGAGAAUGAAUGGCUAAACGUAUGUCUCAUUGUCUUGGGGGAAAGUUUUUGAAAUUAGAAUAAUAGUGAAGAUCCUAUUAAUCACCGUUAGACGAAAAGACCCUAUAGAGCUUGACUAUACUCUGGAAAUGACUUUCUGGAUUGGUAGUUUAGUUGGGGCGACUAUCUUUUAUAAGUAACAAAGAUAAGCAUAAUAAUGAAAAAGUUUUAUUGUUUAAUUAAUAAAUUUAACAAUUACUAAAGUAGGCUAUAAUGACCCAUUAGAAUUAAAAUAAAUCUAAUGAUUAUUAAAUAAAAGCUACCUUAGGGAUAACAGGAUAAUUUUGUUUUAGAGAUCAUAUCAAAUACAAAGUUUGUCACCUCUAUGUUGAAUUAAGAUGACCGAAUAAUGCAGAAGUUAUUUAAGGUAGGUCUGUUCGACCUUUAAAAUCUUACAUGAUUUGAGUUCAUUCCGUCGUAAGACAGGAAGGUUUCUAUCUUCGGUUUUAAAUCAUAAAAGACUUUUAGUACGAAAGGAAGUAAGUCUCUACUAAUCAAUAAUUUCAAUUAGGAUAAAAAAAUUGAAUGCUUCUAAAUUUAAUUUUAUGAUUGAUAAUUA
rnacentral:rRNA from 1 species